rnacentral:rRNA from 1 species
GUCUACAGCCAUACUACCCUGAAUGCAUCUAAUCUUGUCUGAUCUUGGAAGCUAAGCAGGGUCUGAACUGAUUAAAACUUGGAUGGGAGACUAUGGCUAAAAGUAAACU